rnacentral:lncRNA from 1 species
CAAAAUUAUGGUCACCAGCAGCAUUUCGUGUUCUCUUAACAAUUUGCUGUGUCCCUCAAAUAAUGCCUCAUUCUCAUGUAUCAGCCGAAGAAUAUUACAUCCGCCAACCGCCUCGCAGUGUCAUUCAAACUCCCAACAAACGAUCUGAAUCCGAUCCUCAACAGGUAAAUACAUAUAACAAGAAGAAAACAUUCACGCCCAUUAUAAUUAGUUCUUUAAUUUUCACUUUGUUCAACAACCUUUUACUUCUCUUUUUAGGUCCAUAUUUCAUUGGCGGCGAAAGAUUAUAUUAGAGUUUCUUGGAUAACGGAUGACAAGGAAGCAGAAUCAGUGGUGGAGUAUGGAAAAUUACCAGGGAGAUAUAACACAGUGGCUACCGGAGAACAUACCUCGUAUCAAUUCUUCUUUUAUAAAUCCGGCAAGAUCCACCACGUUAAAAUUGGACCUCUUGAACCAGCCACUACUUAUUAUUACCGAUGCGGCGGUCGUGGGCCCGAGUUUUCAUUCAAGAUGCCUCCGGCAAAUUUUCCCAUAGAAU